rnacentral:ncRNA from 1 species
AUUAAAGAAUUAAGGGCGUAUGGAGGAUGCCUUGACACGAAAGAGCGAAGAAGGUCGUGGCGUGACUGCGAUAAGCUUCGGGGAGCCGUCUAGCGGGCUUUGAUCCGGAGAUGACCGAAUGGGGGAACCCCAUCGAGCAAACCUCGAUGACCCGGCGCAAGCUGGGAGCGUACCUGGCGAAGUGAAACAUCUCAGUAGCCAGAGGAAAAGAAAUCAACAAGAUUCCCUUAGUAGCGGCGAGCGAAAAGGGAUAAGCCUAAACUUUUUUAACGCAAGUUAAAAAGGGGUAAUAAGGAUAGAACACUUGAAUUUUUAUCGUUGCGCUUUCGAAGGCAGCGGUAAAAAUUUGAAAGAAGUUACAAAUUCCAAAGUUAGCAGAACGGCCUUGGAACAGCCGGCCAAAGAAGGUGAUAGCCCUGUAAGCGAAAACUUCUGGAACUUCUGUUUUAUUGCGGCGCAAGCCGCCUUGCUUGAGUAGCCCGGGAUAAGAAUGUCCUGGGUGAAUUUGCCCAUACUACUGGGUAAGGCUAAAUAUCUUUCGUGAUCGAUAGUGAACCAGUACCGUGAGGGAAAGGUGAAAAGCACCCCGGUGAGGGGAGUGAAAUAGCAACUGAAACCAUAUGCCUACAAAGAGCGGAAGUCCUUCGGCGGCAGCAAUGCCGUCUGGGAUGACCGUGUGCCUAUUGAAGAAUGACCCAACGAGUUUAUCCAAAUUGCUCUAUAAGUGCCUCUGGCACGUAUGGAAAGGGAAACCGAGUGUUAAAAGCGCGUAUUAGAACUAAAUAAAAUUUUCUUUAAAAAGAAAGUUUUAAUAGUUCUAGAAGCAGUUUGGGUAAGACCCGAAGCCAGGCGAGCUAACCAUGCCCAGGAUGAAGGUUGUCGAAAGACAACUGGAGGUCCGAACUGGUUGGUAGCGCAAUACCAUCGGAUGAGGUGUGGUUCGUAGUGAAAAGCUUAUCGAGCCUGGUAAUAGCUGGUUCUCCCCGAAAUGCCUUUAGGGGCAGCGGCGGAUUGUAGUUGAGGGGGUAGAGCACUGAUUGGUUUGCCGUGCCCGCAAGGGUAGGCUUACCAAAUAAACUCCGAAUACCUCAGCGUAAUUUCCGCCAGUGAGUAAGCGAGGGCAAAGCUUCGUUUACGCGAGGGAAACAGCCCAGAUCAUCAAUUAAGGUCCCAAAAUCUAUGCUAAGUGAAAAGGAAGUAUUCUGCCUUAGACAGGUAGGAUGUUGGCUUAGAAGCAGCCAUCAUUUAAAAAGUGCGUAAUAGCUUACUACUCGAUUUCGCCGCAAGGCGACGAGGCAGGAUGCGCCGAAAAUUUAUAGGGGCUAAGCAUAGUACCGAAAUUAUGGGUUUGAUGAUUUCGAAAAGGAUUUGUGGUGCCGUAGCUCAGUCAGAGCACUGGGUCCCGGGCCCAGAGGUCGACGGUUCAAAUCCGUCCGGCGCCACCAACCUGUCGGAUUAAAAUCAGGCGAGACCUGAUAAUCCGAUCUUUUUCGAAAUCAUCAAGCGGUAGGGGAGCAUUCUGAUUGCUGUGAAGGUGAACUGUGAAGUUUGCUGGAGCGUUCAGAAGGGAGAAUGUUGGGAUGAGUAACCGCAAGUGGCGUGAAAACCGCCACCGCCGAAAGCCUAAGGUUUCCUCCGCGAUGUCAAUCAUCGGAGGGUUAGGCGUCCCUAAGCGUAACCUAGCUUGCGGGCUAGGGAUCGCGAUGGUGAGCCGGUUAAUAUUCCGGCCCCGCUUACAUAUUCGAAGGAGUGACGGGCUAAAUUAGAUCGAGCGCAUUAUUGGAUUUGACGUCUUUGCUCAUAGAGUGGGAACCAGGCAAAUCCGGUUCCAGCCGAAAGGCGCACUCGAGAGUGAAAGAAAUGGCCGUUAGGCCAGAUUCGAUUGACGAGGGCUCCAAGAAAAGCUUCUAAGAUUAAUAUGUAAGCGCACGUACCGAAAACCGAAACAGGUGGGCUGGUGUAAGUGCACCAAGGCGAACGGGUGAUUAUUGGCUAAGGAACUCGGCAAAAAAGCGGCCGUAAGUUCGCGAUAAGGCCUUCCCCAGCUAACGCAAGUUAGAUGGGGACGCAGCUAAAGACCCUCUGGCGACUGUUUAUCAAAAACACAACUCCGUGCUAAGCCGUAAGGCGCUGUAUACGGGGUGACGCUUGUCCGGUGCCGGAACGUUAACGGUGAAGGUGGCGGGUAGCAAUACCCUCUGCCAACGCCCGAAGCGCCGGUGAACGACGGCAGUAACUAUAACUGUCUAAAAGUAGCAAAAUACCUUGUGGGGUAAGUUCCCACGCGCAUGAAUAGCGGAACGACUGGAGGACUGUCUCAGCCAAUAGCCCGGUGAAAAUGCAAUGUCGGUAAAGAUGCCGACUACCCGCACCUAGACGGAAAGACCCCGGAAGCUUUACUGUAGCUUGGUAUUGGUCUAUGGGUUUUAAUGCGUAGCGUAGUGGGUACACUUUGAAGCGUCUCUCUCGGGAGACGUGGAGUGGCCAAUGAAACACCCAUCUUUAAAAUCUAUAGCUCUAACCGGUGACACCCUAAAAGCGUGAAAUGAAAAUUUCAAAUUUUUAGGGUUUCAUCGAGACAGUGCCUGGCGGGCAGUUUUUGUGGGGCACAAUCCUCCUAAAAGGUAAUGGAGGAGUUCAUCAAGGUUGGCUAGCUCCGGAUGGAAAUCGGAGCGAUAGUGUAAAGGCACAAGCCAGCUUAACUGCAAGGCGGAUAUGCCGCGCAGAUGCGAAAGCAGGACCUAGUGAACCGACCGUGGCUCGUAGGAGCGCGGAAGAUCAUCAGAUAAAAGCUACUCCGGGGAUAAACUCUGCGUAACACAUACAUAAUUUUGUGUUACAAUAAGAGUAUGUUGUCCCGUUUGUCCGUAAGGACAAACAUGAUUACGGCUUAUAACGAAGAACCUAUAGAACGGUCUUUCCUGUGCGAAAGCACAUUUCUCUUCUAUAGCAACCUCGUGGGAAGUCGUGAGCGUCUUGAAUCU